CCUUGCCCCAGAAGACUAUCCCUGUGGUGUGUUGAUGACACUGUGAUCCCCUACAGGGAGAUGAAGAGAGUUGACAGCCGUGCUCACAAGACCAGAGAUACCCAUUUGCCCACAGUACCUGAGGUGUUUCUUAUAAAAAGAGCAAGCCUGGCCCUGAAUCCCUGACUUCCAGUUGUACCAUGUGACCUUUGCCUCAAGUGUUUCUGCCAUUGUGGUGUCAGAGGGUGAAGAUAUUCAACCUCCAAAACUAUGCGUGAAAUAAACUUUUCUUUAUGAAGUACCUAGCCUCAGCUCUUUCUUUUGUUAAAGCAACAAAAAAUGGACCAGGGCAAAAGGGUUUCAACAUGUAAAUAUUCAAGUGUGGCUUCUCUCGU
rnacentral:lncRNA from 1 species